UCCAUUCUGUAUGUAUAAUAUUUUAAUAAAAAAUUGAAUAUUGUAUUCCAGAAUGGUGU
rfam:Monodelphis domestica cont3.068575, whole genome shotgun sequence.